rnacentral:rRNA from 1 species
UACGUAGGGUGCGAGCGUUUGUCCGGAAUUAUUGGGCGUAAAGGGCUCGUAGGCGGUUUGUCGCGUCGGGAGUGAAAACCUUGGGCUUAACUCAGGGCUUGCUUUCGAUACGGGCAGACUAGGAGGUAUGCAGGGGAGAACGGAAUUCCUGGUGUAGCGGUGAAAAUGCGCAGAUAUCAGGAGGAACACCGGUGGCGAAGGCGGUUCUCUGGGCAUGAUCUGACGCUGAGGAGCGAAAGUGUGGGAGCGAACAGG